AAUUCUAUUUCCAAAAAUCUUGCUGUAGAAUUUAUUGAAAAAAAAUCAAUGGUUACAAUUAAUUCAAUCGAAUGGCCAAGAUUAUAACGUAUGACCCAAUAAUUGUAAACCCGAGUCAUAAGGAUCCGCGUGUUUUUUAAGUGAAGGCGAGAGAUCAGACGGUCACAAACAAUUCAAUCGAAUGGCCAAGAGUAUAACGUAACUUAAGUGAUUCUCAGUAAAAGGUAAACUUUUUCAUGACAUUAAUAUUUUAAACAUAUGAUUUAAAGGUAAAAAAAAUUUUAACCGAGAAUCACUUAACGUACGUCUCAGUAGAUGAUCCAAAGCCAGCAAUUGGGUUGCAGAUUUUGUUUCUC
rnacentral:sRNA from 1 species